rnacentral:rRNA from 1 species
CCUACGGGAGGCUGCAGUAGGGACUCUUCCACAAUGGGCGAAAGCCUGAUGGAGUACCGCCGCGUGGGUGAAGAAGGUCUUCGGAUCGUAAAACCCUGUUGUUAGAGAAGAAAGUGCGUGAGAGUAACUGUUCACGUUUCGACGGUAUCUAACCAGAAAGCCACGGCUAACUACGUGCCAGCAGCCGCGGUAAUACGUAGGUGGCAAGCGUUAUCCGGAUUUAUUGGGCGUAAAGGGAACGCAGGCGGUCUUUUAAGUCUGAUGUGAAAGCCUUCGGCUUAACCGGAGUAGUGCAUUGGAAACUGGUAGACUUGAGUGCAGAAGAGGAGAGUGGAACGCCAUGUGUAGCGGUGAAAUGCGUAGAUAUAUGGAAGAACACCAGUGGCGAAAGCGGCUCUCUGGACUGUAACUGACGUUGAGGCUCGAAAGCGUGGGGAGCAAACAGGAUUAGAUACCCCAGUAGUC